AUUUUCAGAAUGAAUAUUGAUGUCUUUGGAAGGAAACUAUAAAUUUCUUGGACAUAAGGAGUGAAAAUUAGUCAACUCAUUUGUGAUUCGAGAUGAAAAUGGAGCCAAGGAUAAUUUAUUCUAAGAUUUUGUGCGUUGUUGUCAUUCAUCGCAGUCAUAAACGUCAUAAUAGGUAUAUAAGUCGCAGAAAUGAUUCAUCAAACUAAUUGACAAGUGGAUAAACAAAAAGGUGUUCGUUUCUGGAGGAUGAGGUGUUUGUUGCGGAGCAGCUCCUGGAGGAGAUCGGGCAUAGCUGAGCGCAGUUCAAUCCAAUUGUAGCAGAGGAGGGAAGGAUCGUCUAUUUAAAGAAAAAUUAUAUGCUGUCAUCGUAUUUUUAACACGUUGCGGAAAAUCGCAAAUGUCUAUUCCAGGGAGGAAACUUUCCUCUUUUUAAAGAGUGAGAGUAUCGUGUCAUCGUAUAUUUAACACGGCGAAGAAAUUCGCAAUAGUGUUUUUUCAGUCCAUGUCCAAUAAACAAUCUGAAGGACAGGAAGGAUGUGGAAGAAGAAAAGUGGCCCCUGCAUAUUUUUUUUUUAUUAAAAUUUUUUGUUUUCUUUUUAUUUUUUUUUAAUAACAUUUUUUUUAACGCUCCCGGCCUCGCGCAGAAGUGCGAGCAAGAAAGAGGGAUCCUCGGGAGCUGGCCUGAAGCGCUCGAGAAGUGGCGAUGUAACUUUUGCCCCGACGUGGGAUUCGC